CGUCAUCAUACAAUACCUAACUCAAUGAGGAACUGAACAAAACUUUGUGAUUGAGGAAAAUAUCAUUUCUAAUUUCGAGCACAGGAAUUGAAAUAAGUUUCAGGAAAUGUUGGAUAGAAUGGUAUAACCUGAAAUCCCAGAGACAAGCACAAGUUUUUCACGUUCAUGGCCAACUUCAUCUACAUAGCACUGUCUGGACCAACCAACCACAGGAAGUUAUCAGAACUUGUUUCAGCCUUCAUAGGAGGGCAGAAUGAAUCCAAGAAAAAUGAAGCUAAUUUACACUUCAGAUGUACACGCAAUGGUGAUGACGUUUGUUGGAUCUUUACUUUAAAAAAAUGUUAAAAUGGCAUGUAUGUAUUUGCUGCAAACAGGAAGCAGAUAUUUCUAAAACAAUUACGAGACACUGAAUCUCACUGUGUAAUUUCUCACCUUUCCAGCCAAAAUGUUAAAACUGUGGUUAAUGACAGCAUAUCUAAUGUACAGUAUGUGAGCAGAGGAUGUAUUGUUCAUUGAUGAUUUUUCUUAUGUAUUUCUUUGGUCCACUCUGUGAUUCAUUUUUACUAUUUUUUGUUUAUCUUCUACUCUUUCCUAGAGACA